rnacentral:rRNA from 1 species
UACGUAGGGUGCAAGCGUUACUCGGAAUUACUGGGCGUAAAGCGUGCGUAGGUGGUUUCUUAAGUCUGCUGUGAAAGCCCUGGGCUCAACCUGGGAAUGGCGGUGGAUACUGAGGAGCUAGAGUGCGGUAGAGGAGGGUGGAAUUCCCGGUGUAGCGGUGAAAUGCGUAGAGAUCGGGAGGAACAUCAGUGGCGAAGGCGGCUUCCUGGCCUGUUCUUGACGCUGAGGCGCGAAAGCGAGGGGAGCAAACGGG